UGGGCGAUGGGUUGAUGAUACCACGUGGCUACGAACCACGGUGUCGGGGGUUCGAAUCCCUCCUCGCCCCU
rnacentral:tRNA from 1 species